GGGGGCGACCUGGUUUCGACGGGGGUUGCAAAACCGGAGGAGCAUGCCGAGAAUGAAUUCUCUCGUAAAUCAGAUUCAAUAAAUAUAAAUGCAAACGAUGAAAACUUUGCUGGUCAAGCUAUCGCUGCCUAAUAAGCACUUUAGUUAGCCGCACCGUGUACUGGCCUAAUCCCCAGUAUCCCGUUGACCGAGCUCGCUUAUUGGUAUCGAAUCAACGGUCAUAGAAGAUAAGCUAGUGCCUUGUCCCAUCCCGAGUCAAGACAUGAAAUUUAGGGAAUCGCUACGUUCUAUCCUGUCUGUCGGAGAGGCCGUAGUUAAAUUAAAAGACAAGACUACGCAUGUAGAACCAAAGGCAGAGGAUCUGCGGACGCGGGUUCGAUUCCCGCCGCCUCCACCA
rnacentral:tmRNA from 1 species